UCGCGUCCGACUUUUUAUUGUAAAAGUCGGGCUAAACGUUCGGGAAAAUCGGAAAAGGGUCGCGUAAAGCCGUCGUACCUCGUUUCGUAUCGUUUCCGCGUAUUUUCGUUGUUUUUUCCACGGUUCAACCUGUUUUUCCUGAAAGUAACCGCAACGGCUUCUUCCAUAGACACCAGGUGCGUCGCGAGGUUGUCUGGAGUGCCGUCAAAACAGGGAUGAACCGAACUGCGAAACCUGUCUUCCACGCAGGCAUAUCGGGAAAUGGGAGAGGUACGCAGGGAACCAGAGGGGCACCACAAGCUCAGUUUUAAAUGCCUGGAGAUGCUCCCAACGAUGGCUAUAAAAGCAACUUUGUAGCCACAGAUAUACUGGAACGAGAAUUGGGUCUGGAAUCUGGAUAUGGAAAUCGGGCUGAGGAACUGGAUUGGACGAGGGUUAUGGACACUGGCUAUGAUAAGUCGGGCUGAGGACCGGGAUUCGAGCAGAUGCGACAAAAACGCGACAACGAUGCGACUGGAUAUGGACACUGGAUAUGGAGACUAGACAUGGAGACUAGAUAUAACUGGAUAUGGCUGCGGAUAUAAAUUGGCACAGGUAAUCUAUUUUUUCUUUUUUUGCGAA